rnacentral:lncRNA from 1 species
AAUGCAAACAUGAGUAACAUGGCCCUGCUCUGGAGACUACUGGGAACACAAACACAGCCAUUUAAGACAUCUUCCUGCUUCUCCUUUCCCUUCCAUCAUGAUUGAAAGUUGUCUGAGGUCUCCCAGCCAUGUGUCCUGUACAGCCUGCGGAACUGUGGUACAGUUGAAGAAAGAGCUCAACUCUGACAAAGGGAGACCAAGAGUAACCUCUGGUGUGGAAGUUGGCUGGGCACUCGGUGCCUGACUGUGUUAUACUCCUGUUGGACAUGAGCUGUCUCUUAGAUCACCAAUUCAGACAAGGUUACUCCAAGACCAUGAUACAAUAAAGCAAAGCAAGGAUACUUUGUAAUUUUGUGGAAGCACAGACAAAAUCAAUAUCAAUAUGCCACCUACAAAAGAACAAACAGCCCUUCUCUUGGCUAAAAUGAAUGAUGUCUACUUCUUUACCAAUGAAGUUUUAUUUUCGUUCUAGUCAGCUCUCCCUCCAGAUGAGAUUUUUUGAGAUACCCAAUCUUAUAAUUGCCUCCAGCUUUCUGACAGCAUCUAAUUUCAGCAAACUCUCCCCUCCUUCUGUCCUCUCCCAAAUGACCUAACCUAAACCCCAAAUCUACAGAAGGUUAUUUCUAGUACCAUCUUACUGAGGCACCCCAUGAUUCCUCAUGAUACGUGUUAUUUGUCUGUGCAACAGGUAAUAAAUUGAACUUGUUCACUA